GACGAACGCUGGCGGCGUGCUUAACACAUGCAAGUCGAACGGAAAGGCCCUGCUUUUGUGGGGUGCUCGAGUGGCGAACGGGUGAGUAACACGUGAGUAACCUGCCCUUGACUUUGGGAUAACUUCAGGAAACUGGGGCUAAUACCGGAUAGGAGCUCCUGCUGCAUGGUGGGGGUUGGAAAGUUUCCGCGGUUGGGGAUGGACUCGCGGCUUAUCAGCUUGUUGGUGGGGUAGUGGCUUACCAAGGCUUUGACGGGUAGCCGGCCUGAGAGGGUGACCGGCCACAUUGGGACUGAGAUACGGCCCAGACUCCUACGGGAGGCAGCAGUGGGGAAUAUUGCACAAUGGGCGGAAGCCUGAUGCAGCAACGCCGCGUGCGGGAUGACGGCCUUCGGGUUGUAAACCGCUUUCGCCUGUGACGAAGCGUGAGUGACGGUAAUGGGUGAAGAAGCACCGGCUAACUACGUGCCAGCAGCCGCGGUGAUACGUAGGGUGCGAGCGUUGUCCGGAUUUAUUGGGCGUAAAGGGCUCGUAGGUGGUUGAUCGCGUCGGAAGUGUAAUCUUGGGGCUUAACCCUGAGCGUGCUUUCGAUACGGGUUGACUUGAGGAAGGUAGGGGAGAAUGGAAUUCCUGGUGGAGCGGUGGAAUGCGCAGAUAUCAGGAGGAACACCAGUGGCGAAGGCGGUUCUCUGGGCCUUUCCUGACGCUGAGGAGCGAAAGCGUGGGGAGCGAACAGGCUUAGAUACCCUGGUAGUCCACGCUGUAAACGGUGGGUACUAGGUGUGGGGUCCAUUCCACGGGUUCCGUGCCGUAGCUAACGCUUUAAGUACCCCGCCUGGGGAGUACGGCCGCAAGGCUAAAACUCAAAGGAAUUGACGGGGCCCCGCACAAGCGGCGGAGCAUGCGGAUUAAUUCGAUGCAACGCGUAGAACCUUACCUGGGUUUGACAUGGAUCGGGAGUGCUCAGAGAUGGGUGUGCCUCUUUUGGGGUCGGUUCACAGGUGGUGCAUGGCUGUCGUCAGCCCGUGUCGUGAGAUGUUGGGUUAAGUCCCGCAACGAGCGCAACCCUUGUUCACUGUUGCCAGCACGUUAUGGUGGGGACUCAGUGGAGACCGCCGGGGUCAACUCGGAGGAAGGUGGGGAUGACGUCAAGUCAUCAUGCCCCUUAUGUCCAGGGCUUCACGCAUGCUACAAUGGCUGGUACAGAGAGUGGCGAGCCUGUGAGGGUGAGCGAAUCUCGGAAAGCCGGUCUCAGUUCGGAUUGGGGUCUGCAACUCGACCUCAUGAAGUCGGAGUCGCUACGUAAUCGCAGAUCAGCAACGCUGCGGUGAAUACGUUCCCGGG
rnacentral:rRNA from 1 species